GAUUCAUUUGGGAAUGCUACUCCUGGAAAUCAGAUGGGUUUUGAGACAGGAGGAAACUUCUUGAGAAACUUGUUUAUUUGCUUGCACCUUGGAAGUGAGGAAUUCUAAACUGAUAGUAACUGUUCUGGCUGAAGUUUCUCUGGCAAUUAUAUAUUUCUUCUGCCUUCCAAAAUCUUCAGGGAGAAUGUGUCUCGCAUAUCGCUACCUAUGGGACUCGCUUCACCCCGCUGCUGGCAGCAGUGAUGGUAGGUGAGUCAUCUGCUCACAGCUUGCCGUGCUGCUGCCUCACAGCAUGGGGGGCUGGCACAGGACAGGGCAGCCCUCAGAGCUGGACAUACCCCUGUCCCAGUCCUGCUUGUGCUGUACAGAGAUCAGCCACAGCAAAAAACUGUUUUCUGAUAGUGAUGUACAAGUUUGUUAUGCACCUGCAAAUAUGCACACAGAUCCAUUUUUAUUUUCAUUUAUUAAGUGCUUAACUAUUUGAGCCCUUGUUCAGAGAAGGCUGAACCUGAAUUUGUUUUUGGUCCAAGAAGAUCAAAGGUCCACAUGAACAGAAGCCAUCACAUAUUGUUCCAAAUCUUGGGUUGCUUCUUAAGCCAUUGUUCACAGCCUAGCAUAAACACUUCAGUAAAGGAAGGAAGCUUGCCUAUGGCAGAUUUAUGGGGCAGCAAAUUAAACAGAUUUGUCAUUAAAUGUUUUUGAACGGUGUGGGAAAGACUUAUGCUCAGCUGCUAGUAUUUGCUCCACCUACCAUGCAGGUAUAUACCAGGGAUUUCAAAGUACAAGUGGAACAGGCUGUGUAGUAUAUAAAUCAAUAAAAUUAUUCUGUGAUUUCUUGUUUUUCCUAGCAGUGUCUAUUGGACAUAACACUGGCUGAAGCGCUUCUGUGCAGCAUCCAUGAAUCAUUUGUGGAAACUGAUUGAUAUCUCCAGAUAUCUCAUAUACACACCUAAAUUAAACUGAAGUGCCAUAGGCUCCUUCACUGUUGUACAGAGAUAAAACAUUGCAAAGCACAUGAUAGAAACCAAAUGGGAUUAAGCUUUAUAACUAUCCCUCACUCAAUUCUUGAAAGACCUCUAUCUUUUAUUGGCAUUUCUGCCAUCUGUAAUAACAGCUUUCUUUCAUUAUUGAUGGACAAUGGAGGCAUCAUCAUCAAAAGUAGAGCUGAUGACCGAGUGAUUAUUCUGUAAGUAUAUGAAGGAUGAAAUGCUUUACUUUUUGAAGCCUCGCUGGUUCUCCUGAUGAUCUUACCUAUGUAGUCCCAUUCCCAACUUACAUGAUUUCAGGUUGUAAUUCAAAGACAGGUCUGUUUUAAAAGAAAAGUCUCUUGUAUCUCAGAGAUACCAUACUGAAAGCAAAAAGCUGAUUCAGUAGGUUAUAUUAACUGCAUUUGAAGUUGACCACUGAUCAAUGUUUUAAUAUAAGUAAUUGCUAAAUAUCCUUUCAUAACUAAAGAAUGAGGCUUCUCUUUAACUUGCUAGGAAGAUAAUAGUGACAUUUGUCUCAAGAUAGAAUGGUUAUAAAAUAGGAGUGUCAGGUCCUACUGUAUAUUUUCUAUUUUUUGAGUCUUGCAUAAACUUUGCCAUUUUCACAGCACUACAAGCGUCCCAGUCCUAAUCUAGAAAAAGCAAGCUGUCUGUAUGUAACUAUCAGUCCAGCACACACAGGUCCUAUGAUUGUUUUUUUAGGCUUCCAGCACAGGUGUAAAAUGUAAGGUGAGAAGGAGACCAUUCUCCAGCAGCAGCACCUGGGGUGGAAAGUUCUGGCAACACAAAUUCACCCCACCUGAGUUGAAUGAAGUUUAGCAAAUUCAACCGUGUUAGCUAAUAGUAAUCCUGUGAUUAUAUAAGAGUGAUGAUGAGGGUCAUUCUUUUCUUUAUGUUGAACAGAAACUGCUCUGUAAGAGAGAAGUAUUUUGUAGCUAGAUACCUUCAGGCUUGAGCAACUAUUGAAUGUGGAUUCUUAAGUCUCAAGAUUUCUGCUUUUUUUGGAGGUCAGUUCUUUUUUUAUUGUAUAUAAAGAGAAUUCGAAAACCAAAUUCACAGUGAACGAAGCAUAGAAAAUCUACGUUGGCCUUUUGUUAUUUCUGUGGUAGUAGUUACGUAGGAUUCUAGUUGGUUGUAUAGGUGGUAGUCUAUGCAUAUUUACAUUGAAGUCACAUUCAGUAUUGUUGUCUGAUAAGAACGUAAAGCUGUCUGGAAAAAGACUGCAAAAGAUACAGAAUUUAGACAAGUGAUUGAAUAAAUUGUGUAACUUUUUUAUGUGCUGCUUGAAUCUGUCUUUAAGCCCAUUUCCUUUUGAAAACACAUUUAGGAAUAAACUUGAAGAAAAAAAAACACUUAUCAGAGGUGUACUUAAUAAGUCUUUACCAUCUUUUACAUAAUGAAAUUUAUUUUACUCUAGACAGGGUUAAGUUUGUUUAUUUUUCUCAAUAUUUUUGAUAUGUCAUCCUCUUACGAAUAUAACUUCCGGAUGUGUAUAUUGCUAUUGUGAUUUUCUUUUUUUCCAAUGGUGUGAUGAAAACCUCCUACUCAUUUUAGAUCUGGAAAAAGAUAAAAUAAUGAGACUUUAAUUUUUUUUGAGUUAUGUUAGUGUGUAUGUUUUUUAUGCAAGGCUGAAGUAUAACAAGAGGGAGUGGGAGUUAGAGGCUGUUUACCUUUCACUCAGUCAAACCACUGUGUUGUUGGUGGCCUCUUAUGUGUCUGGAGAAUCUUGCAGUUUGUUGCCAACCUUUGGUGUAUGUGUCAUCUAAUAACAAUGUAAAAUAUUAAUUUAUUGCAAUAGCUCUGAAUUAGAUGAAUGCAUGUUAAAUCUGGAAUGUCUCAAAUAUAUAUAUUUUAUUAUACUGAAUACAUUAAUAUUUCACUCUGGAGUAGCUGUGAAACAUAUUGAGAACAGCUAUUAUCUCUUCUAACACUCAUUGACUGUGAUCAGAGAUUAGAUUUGUGUCACUUCUUUGUAGGUAUUCAAUUCAGUACGUUAGUAAAAUUACUUCAUU
rnacentral:lncRNA from 7 species